rnacentral:sRNA from 1 species
UUCGUUGUUGCCAAUAGUUCAGGGUUCAACGCCAAAGUCGUUUUGCACAUAUUAACCCUGCACGCUGAGAAAUAAGGUGAAUAUCACUUAUGAUUUAACGCAUAUUCUAUGUUUAAGUAGGAAAUAAAUUACAAAUAGUUUAUGAAGCCAUUUACAUAAUAAAUUAAUGAAAUUGAAUGCAAACUAUAUUAACCUAUAAUUUUAAUCAUAUAUUUAAAUAGAUUUUUUUCCAGUGUGAAUGUUCUUGAUCCUUGUCCCAAGGAUUCCAGCUGAUGCAACACACAGAAAGUGCAAUUUUGAGUUGGCCGCUGGGCUUGGCCCGAAAUGACGUCAUUUUUGGCCGCUGAAAUGGCGCCGCUCUAAAUGACCCCCAACCGCGUUGACCCCGCCACAAAAUAUAUUUCGUUGCUUCUUUUUUACGUAAUCCAAUUACAAUUUAGUUGGCUUUUAGUGUGAGCGUGUGUGUUUGGUCGGUCGGUCACUAUAUUUUAUGGUCAACACACAUACAUAUGUACAUAUAUGUAUAGGGACUUCAACUUAAACUAGAAACUUCACUUAAGAAGUGCUAAAGUUCAAUAGGGGGUUUGCCAAUGGAAACACUCAACCAUCUAUCCAUUGCGUCCGUCAAAUGUUUUAUUUAUCGGACGGUAAUUUGCCCAAAAGCAUGCUAUAAAAUAUUCAUUGCAACACAGACACACCUUUACACUUACAGGAAGGAACGCACACAAUCACGUGACUCGUUCAAUAUGCAAAUGCAGAUGUAAAUAGCAUUAUCCUACACAUUUACUACACAUUUAUACUUUACAUUUUUGUUAAAUUUUAUCCAACAUUGAAUAGCAAAGAUACAAUAUGCACUUGCGAAAAUAUGCCUCUCUAAUUGUUUUUUCCAAUAAAAUAUAUAUUAAAGUGCUUAAAUUUCGAUAGUUGUUAUUUUCUGUGUAAGCUGCAUCUCUGCUCUGCGUUCCGUAUCUCACUUUUGACCUUUUGAAGAGGGCCGCAAUUUUCAGCGAAAACAAAAAUAGAACGCGGGUGAAAAAGGGGUGGUGCAUCCCCCAACUGACCCUGCAUUCUUCAUUUUCGUCCUUCACGAAGGCCCACUUUUUAAGCUACGAAAAUGUAGCCGAAAAAAAAGAAUUUCAUCCUCGUUUCGAACUUUUUGCAGCUACAAACUGUAUAAGUUAAUUGGGUAUCCCAUGCAAUAUGUUAAUCAGUGAUUGUAAUUAAUGCUAUUCUACUUUCUUAAAGACAUAGUUGCAUAUUUUUAGGCUAAUAUUAUAAUUAAACCAUUGUUUGAUAUAGCAAUAUCAACUCUAUGCUAAAUUGCCAACUGGCAUAAUUGCUUGUUCCACAUUUCACAAUGUAUUCAGCUUAAGCCUUGACUGGCCCAUAAACAAAGACAUCCCACAAAAUGCAGUCAUGCAUCGAUUUUUCCUCUAUUUAUUUUGUACGCAAUUUCCCAUUUUUGCACCUCUGGGGCACAGAUACCAAAUGCCAGACAUUGGAAAGGGGUGGUUUGUGCGGGGUGGCGCGUAUGUUUACACGUUUGACAGGUGUAUGCUAUUCCGAACAUUUAUGACAUGCAGUUUUCCGCAUAGAUUUCCAUGCGGGUACUGUUUGUUCGCACCGACUGUUCUAAUCGCCCGGGGCCGCAAAAAUAAACAGCAAAAGACGAGGCGACUACAAUGGUAAUUAUAAGGCCGCAUUCGGAUGAAAAGUGAAUAGGAGUGUGAGUGUGUCAGCUAAUUGCGAAUAUUCACGGUACGGGGUGCAGUAGAGUGGACCUUGGAGAACUCCUAAUCUUUGGUGCUCAAUAAAGACUAUUUUUAAACUACGAAGUUUUCUUAUCGUUAACUUUGUACAAGAACAUAAACUGUAAAAUCCUUCACCUAGCCACCUUUUAAACCACAAAGGUCCACCCUAAUUUAAUAUGCGAGAAGAUAGUACUUAGUUAUAGAUAUAUUUUCAAUAAUACUUGAUAAUUUCGCAAACAAUUAACUUCAAAACAUUAACCCUGAACUUGCACACUUGUAACCUAUUCAGGUCCACCCUAAAUAAUAGCUAGUCAUAUUUUGUAUGGAGAUAGUGUUUAGUUAUGGAUAUAUGUAUAUCUGGGCAAUAAAGAAAUACAGCAUGCGUAUAAAAAAUUAAUGACAGUUGCACGCCAUAAAGCAAACCAUAUAAAACAGCAACAAACAACAAUGACAUCCAAGCAAAUGGUGCGUGUGCAAAAUCCCAUAGAUCGACAUUGGUUACCAGGUAACCCCCAUUGGCCUAUCUAUCAGUUUUCUCUCCACUAGUUCGAUGGAAAGCAAAAUGCGAAUGCUAAUCAAUAAAGCACAUAAAAUAUGAAAUCAAAAACUAGUUCAAAUAUUAACUAGUGUCAAACUUUUAAUGAUUCUGGAAAAUGACCUCAUCGCAAUCAAUUGAAAAAAUAUAAAAAACUGUAUAUAGACUAGCAGAUGAACGUCACAUAUGGACUUGUUUUGGUUUAUAUAUAUAUAUACAAACAAGAGAAACGGCGCUAAAAAAUGUUUUAAUUAGAUCAUAAUAUUGCGAUAAAUUAAAAAAAUUGUUGCCAUCUGUAUGGGAAGUUAAUAAAAUUACUUGGAAAGUAAGCGAAAGAAUCUCGACCUAUUAAGACUUU